rnacentral:snoRNA from 1 species
AUUCAUUCCUAAAUCCUUGGAGGCUGUGCUCUAAAGGCUACCAAGAUCUGGGUGAAUGCUACAGAGAUCGCAGGCAAUCCAAAAGACUGUGCAACCCAGUGGCCCAGACUUACUUCACACCUGCAACAUUA